rnacentral:misc_RNA from 1 species
AAGUCGUAACAAGGUUUCCGUAGGUGAACCUGCGGAAGGAUCAUUAACACUAAUGAAAUCCAAAACCUUUUGGAUCAACCCAACCUUAGCGAACCGUUCGUUUUUUUCCCUUGCCCCUUUUUUUACUGUACCAAACUCAAUCUGAUGUAAAGUGUCUGAUUUCUUAUUCUCGGCCGCAGGGGAAAUAAAACCCCUCUGUGUGCGGGAAUCAAAAUCUAACGCAAUACAACUCUUAACAACGGAUAUCUUGGCUCUC